UACGUAGGGGGGCUAGCGUUGUCCCGGAAUCAUUGGGCGUAAAGCGCGUGUAGGCGGUCCGGUAAGUCCGCUGUGAAAGUCGGGGGCUCAACCCUCGAAUGCCGGUGGAUACUGUCGGGCUAGAGUGCGGAAGAGGCGAGUGGAAUUCCCUGGUGUAGCGGUGAAAUGCGCAGAUAUCAGGAGGAACACCAAAUUGCGAAGGCAGCUCGCUGGGACGUAACUGACGCUGAGACGCGAAAGCGUGGGGAGCAAACAGG
rnacentral:rRNA from 1 species